rnacentral:rRNA from 1 species
ACGGAAGGUCCAGGCGUUAUCCGGAUUUAUUGGGUUUAAAGGGAGCGUAGGCCGUCUGUUAAGCGUGUUGUGAAAUGUAGAUGCUCAACAUCUGAAUUGCAGCGCGAACUGGCAGACUUGAGUGUGCGCAACGUAGGCGGAAUUCGUGGUGUAGCGGUGAAAUGCUUAGAUAUCACGAAGAACUCCGAUUGCGAAGGCAGCUUACGGGAGCACAACUGACGCUGAAGCUCGAAAGUGCGGGUAUCGAACAG